CGGGCACACCAUGAAGUCGAACAAUCUCCCGAAUAUAGAUCUCAGUGAUACGGUGCAUGAAAUUGUUGCUCGAUCGUGCAAGGAGCAGCAGAGACAAAUUGAGGUAUAGGCUCAUGUUCUUGUAUCGCUUCUCAACCUUUUUACUUUUUCUUUAGAAGAGUAAUCUGUGUUAGCCUCUAAUUAUUUUAGUCCAUUUGAUCUAUUGACAAUUUAGUACAACUACACCCCCCCGCCCCCC